rnacentral:tRNA from 1 species
GAUGGUUCAACUCCUUCCCCUGCUA